AGAUUGAACGCUGGCGGCAGGCCUAACACAUGCAGGUCGAGCGGUAGAGAGGUGCUUGCAUCUCUUGAGAGCGGCGGACGGGUGAGUAAUGCCUAGGAAUCUGCCUAGUGGUGGGGGAUAACGUUCGGAAACGGACGCUAAUACCGCAUACGUCCUACGGGAGAAAGCGGGGGACCUUCGGGCCUCGCGCCAUUAGAUGAGCCUAGGUCGGAUUAGCUAGUUGGUGAGGUAAUGGCUCACCAAGGCGACGAUCCGUAACUGGUCUGAGAGGAUGAUCAGUCACACUGGAACUGAGACACGGUCCAGACUCCUACGGGAGGCAGCAGUGGGGAAUAUUGCACAAUGGGCGCAAGCCUGAUGCAGCAACGCCGCGUGAGGGGACGACGGCCUUCGGGUUGUAACCUCUUUAGUA
rnacentral:rRNA from 1 species